CUUAAGUUAUGUUGGUGUAUAUCUGGUUUGAUAUUAUUGUUUCAGUAGCUUAAUUUGUGUAUAAUUAAUUAUUUAAGCCAAGUCUAUGUGCUGCUUAUUUAAGUUUUCAUGCGUUACAUUUAUAAAAUUAAACCUGUAAAAGUUUAAUUAUUAGGACUUGAUAGUAAUGUAAAAUUAGUUUGUUUAUGUGAAAUUGGUUUAGCUUGGGUACACACCGCCCGUCACA
rnacentral:rRNA from 1 species